rnacentral:rRNA from 1 species
CAAUAGCGUAUAUUAAAGCUGUUGCGGUUAAAAAGCUCGUAGUUGGAUUUCUGUCAAGGACAACUGGUCCGCCCUCCGGGUGAGCACAUAGUUUGGUCUUGACAUCUUGCUGGAAGCUGUUGCUGCACUUGGCUGUGUGGCGCAGUGUUCAGCACUUUCACUUUGAGGAAAUUGGAGUGUUUCAAGCAGGCACAUGCCUUUGGACACAGUAGCAUGGAAUAAUUAGAUUGGGCUUUUGCUCCAAUUUGUCGGUUUCUGGAGCUGAGGUGAGUAUUAAUGGGGAUUGUUGGGGGCAUCCGAAUUUAGCCGUCAGAGGUGAAAUUCUUGGUUCUGCUAAAGACGGACAACUGCGAAAGCGUUUGCCCAGGAUGUUUUCAUUGA